rnacentral:rRNA from 1 species
UGCCCAAGAGAUCGGGAUAACACCUGGAAACAGAUGCUAAUACCGGAUAACAAUAGAUGAUGCCUAUCAACUGUUUAAAAGAUGGUUCUGCUAUCACUCUUGGAUGGACCUGCGGUGCAUUAGCUAGUUGGUAGGGUAACGGCCUACCAAGGCGAUGAUGCAUAGCCGAGUUGAGAGACUNAUCGGCCACAUUGGGACUGAGACACGGCCCAAACUCCUACGGGAGGCAGCAGGC